GUAAAGGUGCGGUUAAACGUGGCAAUGCAAGCUCUUUUUCUACGCAUUUUGCUAUCAAAAUGCGAAAUCGAAAGUCUACUUUCCCGUGUUAACAGCUGGUAAAUUCUUUU